CCCCAGCGCCACAAGUGGCAGCCGCUUUUAUUGGGCCUAAAGCGUUCGUAGCCGGCUCGGUCUAUCUCAUGUGAAAUUGUUCGGCUCAACCGAACAGCGUGCAAGAGACACUGCCGAGCUUGGGACCGGAAGGAGUCAGAGGUAUGCUCGGGGGAGCGGUAAAAUGCUAUAAUCCCGAGUGGACCACCUGUGGCGAAGGCGUCUGACUAGGACGGAUCCGACGGUGAGGAACGAAAGCCAGGGGAGCAAUCCG
rnacentral:rRNA from 1 species